rnacentral:rRNA from 1 species
GAUGAACGCUGACAGAAUGCUUAACACAUGCCAGUCUUUGGCGAAGCUGUGCUUGCACCGCCUAGCCAAGGCGGACGGGUGAGUAACGCGUAAGGAACUUGCCCUGCAGUCAGGGAUAACAGACGGAAACGACUGAUAAGACCUGGUAAAGUCAGGCGGACUCAUGUCCAGCCUGAUGAAAAGAGAUGCUGCAGGAGAGCCUUGCGUCCUAUUAGCUUGUUGGUGGGGUAACGGCCCACCAAGGCGAUGAUAGGUAGCCGGCCUGAGAGGGUGGACGGCCACAAGGGGACUGAGAUACGGCCCUUACUCCUACGGGAGGAAGCAGUGGGGAAUAUUGGACAAUGGGGGCAACCCUGAUCCAGCAAUUCUGUGUGCACGAUGAAGGUUUUCGGAGUGUAAAGUGCUUUCAGCAGGGAAGAAAAAAAUGACGGUACCUGCAGAAGAAGCGACGGCUAAAUACGUG